GCGCGCGUAGCUCAGUGGUAGAGCAUUCGUCUGAUAAGCGAAAGGUCCCUGGUCCGAUCCCAGGCGCGCGCA
rnacentral:tRNA from 1 species